rnacentral:rRNA from 1 species
UGUCUCAGUUCAGAUUGCAGUCUGCAACCCGACUGCAUGAAGUCGGAAUCGCUAGUAAUCGCGAAUCAGAAUGUCGCGGUGAAUACGUUCCCGGGUCUUGUACACACCGCCCGUCACACCAUGGGAGUCGGAAAUGCCCGAAGUCAGUGACCUAACCUUUAAGGGAGGAGCUGCCGAAGGUGGAGCCGGUAACUGGGGUGAAGUCGUAACAAGGUAAC